rnacentral:SRP_RNA from 1 species
GCCGGGCACGGUGGCUUGUGCCUGUAAUCCCAACACUUUGGGAGGCUGAGGUGGGUGGAUUGCCUGAGCUCAGGAGUUCGAGACCAGCCUGGGCAACAUGGUGAAACCCCAUCUCUG